UACGGAGGAUGCAAGCGUUAUCCGGAAUGAUUGGGCGUAAAGCGUCCGCAGGUGGCUAUGUAAGUCUGCUGUUAAAGAGUGAGGCUCAACCUCAUAAGAGCAGUGGAAACUACAUGGCUAGAGUGCGUUCGGGGGCAGAGGGAAUUCCUGGUGUAGCGGUGAAAUGCGUAGAGAUCAGGAAGAACACCGGUGGGCGAAGGCGGCGACCUGGGUCGAGACUGACGCUGGAGGCGCGAAAGCGUGGGGAGCAAACGGG
rnacentral:rRNA from 1 species